CGAAGAUACCAGCUGGCUGCAACUGUUUAAUAAAAACACAGCACUGUGCAAACACGAAAGUGGACGUAUACGGUGUGACGCCUGCCCGGUGCUGGAAGGUUAAUUGAUGGGGUCAGCCGCAAGGCGAAGCUCUUGAUCGAAGCCCCAGUAAACGGCGGCCGUAACUAUAACGGUCCUAAGGUAGCGAAAUUCCUUGUCGGGUAAGUUCCGACCUGCACGAAUGGCGUAAUGAUGGCCAGGCUGUCUCCACCCGAGACUCAGUGAAAUUGAACUCGCUGUGAAGAUGCAGUGUACCCGCGGCAAGACGGAAAGACCCCGUGAACCUUUACUAUAGCUUGACACUGAACAUUGAGCCUUGAUGUGUAGGAUAGGUGGGAGGCUUUGAAGCGUGGACGCCAGUCUGCGUGGAGCCAUCCUUGAAAUACCACCCUUUAAUGUUUGAUGUUCUAACUCGGCCCCAUAAUCUGGGGUGAGGACAGUGUCUGGUGGGUAGUUUGACUGGGGCGGUCUCCUCCCAAAGAGUAACGGAGGAGCACGAAGGUUAGCUAAUCACGGUCGGACAUCGUGAGGUUAGUGCAAAGGCAUAAGCUAGCUUGACUGCGAGAGUGACGGCUCGAGCAGGUACGAAAGUAGGUCUUAGUGAUCCGGUGGUUCUGAAUGGAAGGGCCAUCGCUCAACGGAUAAAAGGUACUCCGGGGAUAACAGGCUGAUACCGCCCAAGAGUUCAUAUCGACGGCGGUGUUUGGCACCUCGAUGUCGGCUCAUCACAUCCUGGGGCUGAAGUAGGUCCCAAGGGUAUGGCUGUUCGCCAUUUAAAGUGGUACGCGAGCUGGGUUUAGAACGUCGUGAGACAGUUCGGUCCCUAUCUGCCGUGGGCGUUGGAAGAUUGAGAGGGGUUGCUCCUAGUACGAGAGGACCGGAGUGAACGCACCACUGGUGUUCGGGUUGUCAUGCCAAUGGCAUUGCCCGGUAGCUAAGUGCGGAAAAGAUAAGCGCUGAAAGCAUCUAAGCGCGAAACUUGCCUCAAGAUGA
rnacentral:rRNA from 1 species